rnacentral:rRNA from 1 species
CCUACGGGAGGCUGCAGUGGGGAAUAUUGGACAAUGGGCGAAAGCCUGAUCCAGCCAUGCCGCGUGUGUGAAGAAGGCCUUCGGGUUGUAAAGCACUUUCAGUGGGGAAGAAAGCCUUGGGGCUAAUACCCUCGAGGAAGGACAUCACCCACAGAAGAAGCACCGGCUAACUCCGUGCCAGCAGCCGCGGUAAUACGGAGGGUGCGAGCGUUAAUCGGAAUUACUGGGCGAAAGCGCGCGUAGGCGGUCUGAUAAGCCGGUUGUGAAAGCCCCGGGCUCAACCUGGGAACGGCAUCCGGAACUGUCAGGCUAGAGUGCAGGAGAGGAAGGUAGAAUUCCCGGUGUAGCGGUGAAAUGCGUAGAGAUCGGGAGGAAUACCAGUGGCGAAGGCGGCCUUCUGGACUGACACUGACGCUGAGGUGCGAAAGCGUGGGUAGCAAACAGGAUUAGAUACCCGUGUAGUC